UUGUUUGAGGGGUUUGCUGGGUUUGGAAGGGUUUCUUUGCUGCAAUUUGAGUAUUUUCGUGCCUUCGGGCCUAGGCCCUGCCAAAGCCUUCCGUGCUGUAGCGGGCGAGGAGAGAGGGAAUGGUGUGACCGUUACGGGCCCCCUGAAUGGACUGGAGCUGUACGUGCCCUCUCCUGCCCUUCCUGCAAGUCAGUUCCUUUCUUUUGGGUGUCAAGUGGGGCCAGAACCUGUCCCAUCCCGUCCCAGAUGCGGCAGGAGCCGUGGGCCGCGGGGAGGCCUCUGAGAUGGCGGCAGCAGCCUGGGCAGGGCCCCAUCUGUCUGGUCCUCACCAUGGUGCUGGUCACGCAGCUGAAGCGCUCAGAUGCCACGGGCUGUGAGAUGGGCGAGUACCCCAAUGGCACCGAGUGCUGUCCCACAUGUGGUGCGGGGGCCAACCUGGUGACAGCAGCA